rnacentral:rRNA from 1 species
AUGGUAGGCUGGCGGGCGGCGGGCGCUCGCGCCGUUCUUCGCCGACUCGGCGCGGCAGCCACGGAGAAGCAGGGUGGCCGUGCGUUGGCGGUCAGCUAUAGCAGCAGCUGCCGCAGCAGUAGCGCGAGUGCUCCAUUUGGAUUGGGCCAGUGCGCAAGUUUGUUGAGAGCACACACUUCUACCUCCCGGGGAAUUCCAACGAACUUCUAUCAGCUGCUCCACAAUGCUGGAAUAUCGACCACUAGGAACCUUCUUGCUGCAGAUAAUUCUAUGGUUCCCAUUUCUUCUCCGUUGACAACUCCACUAGGGGAUGCAGAAGAGACCAACAAAAAGGGUGCAGUAGUUAAGCGGCUGAAAGUCCAAGCUAUCAAGAAGGAUAUCAAGCAGAGCCCCAAGAAGGUGAAUCUGGUAGCCAAGCUGGUUCGAGGAAUGCGUGUUGAAGAUGCCCUUUUGCAGCUGCAAGUGACAGUUAAAAGGGCGGCAAAAACUCUGUACCAGGUGAUCCAUUCCGCUCGUGCCAACGCAGCUCACAACCACGGAUUGGAUUCUGAUAAACUUAUUGUGGAGGAGGCUUUUGUGGGGAAAGGACUUUACCUUAAGAGGUUGUCUUACCAUGCCAAAGGGAGGUGCGGCGUCAGGGAGAGACCUAGGUGCAGACUGACGGUGGUGGUUAGAGAAGCAACGGCCGAGGAAGAAGCGAAGAUCGCUAAACUGAGAGUUAGCAACUACAAAAAGCUAACCCGGAAGGAGAAGCAGCUCAUGCCGCACCGGCUCAUUGAGGUCAGUCCCAGGUGGGCUCGGAAAAGGAAGGAGGAGGAGGCAGACGCCACAGUGUAG